GUCUAUGGCCAUACCACCCUGACUGCACCCGGUCUCGUCUGAUCUCGGAAGCUAAACAGGGUCGGGCCUGGUUAGUACUUGAAUGGGAGAAGUCGACUUCCUCAGUUCAGCUAAGUUAGUUAUCGCUU
rfam:Macaca mulatta chromosome 16, whole genome shotgun sequence.